UAUUUCGACAUCCCAUUCCGGAUCAUCUUUCAGUGCCCUUUCACCGACUCCAGCUUCAACAAUAACAACUGCUCUGCCAUGCCCUACUCCAGCUGCUUAAAAUCACCGCACAUUCAACACCCUGUUCGUCUUCAAACUGUGCAGGCUGGACCGGGGGGAACCACUUCCUCUAGGGCUACAUGUUGCAUGAAGCCGAUGAAGCAUUUGCCUUGCCAAUCCAACUUUGUUGCGGUCACCGAAGUGCUCGGCCUGAUAAUGCAUCUGGCAGUCGACAAUUUGCCCGUCGCUCGUCUACCACGGCUUACCAGUUCUUUCAUCACGCAGGUCAUCGUCGAAACCAAAUCGCUGGCCGUGCCCCCGUGCCCUGUCUCAGCGCUCAGGUAACGUUACCAAACUGUAGGCGGUUCUUUCGUAGGGGAUUGAUAGAAUCAUGUUGCUGAAGUGCGGAAGUUGCCAACGCUGCAAUUGUUUGACGACAUCUAACGGUACCGACUUUUUGUACCGCUCCGGAACUGGAGAAUUUCAAUUGAGCAGCCACUCACCUUCGGCCAUACACUGGAUCCAAAGUUCGUUCGAUUACGCUGCUGAAUAUUGCCGUUAGAUGGACGAACGGUCAGGACAACAAAUCAUAAUUUAUGAUCAUCGACAGUGAAA